GAACGCACAUUGCGCCUCAGAGUAUUCUUUGAGGCAUACCUGUUCGAGCGUCGUUUAGACCAUAAGGCUUUGCCUUGCGUUGAUUUAUUGGAGUGAUCCAAUAAUCUAAACUUGUUGGCGUCGUAGUUUGACCAAGACACAGCACAAUGUGACACUAGUUGAAAUAAUGACUGCCCGUUCCUAAACUGUUUCUCACGAAACGUAGGUUCGACCUCGGAUCAGGUAAGACUACCCGCUGAACUUAAG
rnacentral:misc_RNA from 1 species